AAACUAACAAGGAUUCCCCUAGUAACUGCGAGUGAAGCGGGAAGAGCUCAAAUUUAAAAUCUGGCGGUUUUGCCGUCCGAGUUGUAAUCUGGAGAAGCGUUUUCCGCGUCGGACCGUGUACAAGUCUCUUGGAACAGAGCGUCAUAGAGGGUGAGAAUCCCGUCCAUGACACGGACCGCCGAUGCUUUGUGAUACGCUCUCGAAGAGUCGAGUUGUUUGGGAAUGCAGCUCAAAAUGGGUGGUAAAUUCCAUCUAAAGCUAAAUAUUGGCGAGAGACCGAUAGCGAACAAGUACCGUGAGGGAAAGAUGAAAAGCACUUUGGAAAGAGAGUUAAACAGUACGUGAAAUUGUUGAAAGGGAAACGCUUGGAGUCAGUCGCGUCGUCCGGGACUCAGCCUUGCUCUUUUGCUUGGUGUACUUCCCGGUAGACGGGUCAACAUCGAUUUUGGCCGGUGGAUAAAGGGGAAGGGAAUGUGGCACCUUCGGGUGUGUUAUAGCCCUCUUCCGCAUACGCUGGCCGGGAUCGAGGAUCGCAGCACGCCUUCAUGGCCGGGGGGUUCGCCCUCACGUAACGUGCUUAGGAUGGUGGCAUAAUGGCUUUA
rnacentral:rRNA from 1 species